GUUUAAACCAUUAGAAUUGGGAACAUGAAAUAAGAACAUCAAAGUUUUUCCAUAAUUUGAAUUUACAGUCUGUCUGAGAACAUUUAAUCCCAAAGAAAAAUUGGCUUCUUAGACCACUAGCUUAAUAGUUGAGAGUGUGAAAUUGCCAACAUGAUUGGGCAGUGUUAAAGGCCACACUUCUAAUGCUCAUAUUCUUUGCACACAGGCACACAUCUGAAAACCACGUGCAUACCACUGGACACUGUUUCAUAAUGAAAAGCUGCAAUUAAAAAUAUUUCUUCUUGCAGGGAUGACCUUAAAGAGAGGCACAAAGCCACAAUCUGCCUGGGAUUUUUACUUUCCUGUUACAGCCAUCAGAACGGAGAGAGGAAGGGAGAACAGAAGGGAGCAAGCCAGGAGCUUUAUAUGGUUUAAACAUCUGUUCCCUCAGAGUCGUUCCAUGCCUGCCUGCCUUAUUAGAGGGUUUGGUGCUGGAGUCCUCUGACUGAACGCCAGAGUCCUUCCCUUUGUUUUUCCCAGUGACGUACACAAGAACUUUGAGGUGGUGUAAGAACAGAGGGAUUCGUGGCUAAUAAAUACUUCAUCUAGUUGGGUGAGUGUUUGAGC
rnacentral:lncRNA from 1 species